CGACGCUAAAAAAUACAAUUGUAUGGGCUAGUAGAGUAUUAUUCAUUGCAAGCUUUAAUCAAACGCGCUCCAUUAAAUUCGUUGAUUGUGACUGACUAUUCUUCUUCUUCUUCUUAUAUAUCUCAAAAACCCCAUUUACAGAGACUCAAAAAUGGCGACAUUAGGAGGAAUUCGUGAAGCUGGAGGAUCAGAAAACAGCCUAGAGAUCAACGAUCUUGCUCGUUUUGCUGUUGAUGAACACAAUAAGAAACAGAAUGCUCUUUUGGAGUUUGGAAAGGUUGUGAAUGUGAAGGAACAAGUGGUUGCUGGAACCAUGUACUACAUAACACUAGAGGCGACUGAAGGUGGUAAGAAGAAAGCAUACGAAGCCAAAGUCUGGGUGAAGCCAUGGCAGAACUUCAAGCAAGUUGAAGACUUCAAGCUUAUUGGGGAUGCUGCUACUGCUUAACAAGCGCUGAACGAUGUAUGACUCUUAUGUCCUGAAAAUAAAGCUAAACAUAUUUUAGCUUGUUCGUAUUUGAAUAUCAUAAAGUAAGUUCAUAACUCUAUCGUGGAUCUAAAUUACGGAUAACUAUAGCUUUACAACGUUCCUUUUUCGUUCUAUGCUCUUAUCUUAUAUACGAUUUUGCUUUUCUG
rnacentral:misc_RNA from 1 species